AUCUUGACACUUUCCUAGCAUUUAUGUUAUAAACCACCACUGAAAACAGGAAGUGGCAGCCUCCUGGACAGACUUCCUCUUGUCUUGGUGCAGCUGCACUCAGCGAUAGCAUCCCUGCCAGUCGGUCCGUGUCUCUCCUGUCCAAUUGUCCCCGCGGUCCCACAACGGGUCUGUGUCCAGACGUAUGCGAGUGUGUGUCUGGCCGCAUGGCGUGGCGCUGUGUCCUGUGGCCCUCUGCUCCCGUCAUGUGAAGAUGAAUGGAACUCUGUCACUUGGGCCGGUCUUCAGAGGCCCGCGCUCUGCGUGAGGAAAGUGCCAGUCAUUAACGGCGGAGGCAGGAUGAAAAAUGAGUUCAUUUACGGACAAGUCCUGCGAGAAGGAGUGAUCCAGUUUACGAAUGAAUCAUACCCACAUACUGCAGCGUCUCACCAAGAACGAGCUUACGAUUUAUUCCUGAGACAGAAGGAAAAAUAUAAAGAUUAAAGAAAUAUGUUGGGCUCUUUUAAACUUCACGUCUCUGGAUGGCAUCCAAGUCCUGCUGUCAAUUACCACUGACACUCAUUUUGAUUCACCCCUAAGCCAAGGCGAUGAGAGAGACUGGUAAAGGAGGAAGCUUCAUAACUGUGGACCGUUCCAUCGCCUGGAGGGUAUGGGGGGAGAAAGAGAGGCUUGGCAGGAGGGCCUGAGCGUGUAAUUAAAGCAAGCAGUUAAUUAAAGCAAGCAAAAAACCACUUUGAACACCUGGCAACCAUCCACAACAUUGUAGUAUCAUGGUUUGGAAUGAGAUGAAGGUUGCGAUUAAUCAUGUAGGCAGUAAAACGAAUCUCCACCGCAAGACUUCAUUUUCCCUUGUCCGGCUGAUUGUUAAUUUGAUCCUAUUGAUUCCUAAUUUAGAGAGUGCUGUCAGGGUCACGUCCUCUCCUGACCAGUAGUACAGGCCCUCGUGGAGUACGGUACCCAUGAACAACUCUGUGGGACAGAGUGAUUAUGAAUAAUAAACAAAUACGCACAAACAACGCCCACGUUCUCAACCUUUCUGCAUCGCCCCUGCAGCGCAGCAGCAGUCACAAAUAAAUACACUGUGCUGUUGCAUAGUCUGACUCAUCUGGUUGAGUCAGCGCUCAAUUUGUAAGCAAACCAGGUCAGAAACUGAGAUCUGUAAAUGCAGAGUGGUGGUUGGGCCUUGAUUGCUAAAAUGAUUGUCAGUGUAAGGUUAAGUGAUCAAGACUAGCUCAUAACCAUUUGAGAGGAAAAAAAAAAAAAGCUAUAUCUUGACACACCAAGCCAGACAUAUUGUCCAUACUGUAUAAGGAGUUCAGUAUAUGUACACUACUUUUCAAAUGUUUAGGGUUGGGUUUUUUAAUGUUCUGAAAGAAGACUCACCAAUUUUGCAUUUAUUCUGAUAAAAAUACAGUAAAAUUAGGAAUAUUGUAAAAUAUUAUUGCAAUUUAAAAUAACUAUUUUCUAUUUUAAUAUAUUUUAAAAUGUAAUUUAUUCCUGUGAUGCAAAGCUGAA